UUNCCUNGAGCUUAAUUUGACUCAACACGGGGNAAACUCACCAGGGUCCAGACACAAUAAGGAUUGACAGAUUGAGAGCUCUUUCUUGAUUUUGUGGGUGGUGGUGCAUGGCCGUUCUUAGUUGGUGGAGUGAUUUGUCUGCUUAAUUGCNAUAACGAACGAGACCUUAACCUGCUAAAUAGCCAGGCCCGCUU
rnacentral:rRNA from 1 species